GUUCAAUGCUUACCUUUGGUGCCGUCUGUGUGGAGUUUGCACAGUUUCCCUGUGACUGCUUAGUACCUCAAAGAUGUGCAGAAUGGAUACCUCUACUGAGAAAUUAGCACCCAGUUCCUACACCAACUUGGAGUCUAAAAGGAAGAAUGAGACCAUUAAUUUGACUGGCAAAGAGCACUGCAAGAGAGAAGGGACUGGAUUUGUACUUAAUUUCCUGGCCAAGCUAAUCAGCAAGAAACCUGCUCCCAAGUAAUGAUCAAAACUACUUGUCAGCUGCUUUGUCAAAGCAGUGCG